AACGAACGCUGGCGGCAGGCCUAACACAUGCAAGUCGAGCGAAGCCUUCGGGCUUAGCGGCGGACGGGUGAGUAACGCGUGGGAACAUGCCCUUUGGUACGGAAUAGCCCCGGGAAACUGGGAGUAAUACCGUAUGUGGUCGAGAGACGAAAGAUUUAUCGCCAAAGGAUCGGCCCGCGUUGGAUUAGGUAGUUGGGGGGGUAAUGGCCUACCAAGCCGACGAUCCAUAGCUGGUUUGAGAGGAUGAUCAGCCACACUGGGACUGAGACACGGCCCAGACUCCUACGGGAGGCAGCAGUGGGGAAUCUUAGACAAUGGGGGAAACCCUGAUCUAGCCAUGCCGCGUGAUCGAUGAAGGCCUUAGGGUUGUAAAGAUCUUUCAGUGGGGAAGAUAAUGACUGUACCCACAGAAGAAGCCCCGGCUAACUCCGUGCCAGCAGCCGCAGUAAGAC
rnacentral:rRNA from 1 species